AAAUAGAACUUUGCAGAGAGAGUUAACAGGGCGUGAAACCGUUAAUUGGCAAACGAAUCGGAGCCACGAAGUCGUUUCGUUGAUUAGUCGGGGCCGAGUUCAGCUCAAAAGUCUUGUCUUUUGGGUGUAUUCUCGUGUCUGGCCAAUCUUUGUAAGCGUACACUGCAACCAGUUAGACGAUUGGAGAUGGGCACAGUUAGAUGCUCAGGUUAGGUUUGAUAUAAGAAUCCUCGUGGUUCCCGUGUCAUUGGGCCUGUUGCAAGUGAACUAUCACCAAAUACUGACUGGCAAAAUGAAAAUCGCCUAGCGCGUUUUAUAAAAUGCGUCGGCCAUCAUACAGGUCUACAUGCGUACCCAUAGGGUCUAAGUUCGGCAUCUUUGAAUUUGGACUUGCUAGCUACCAGUGGGGCAACUCCUGGUGCUAGUAUAGCUUCCAUCUAAUCAGGUGUUGACUUGGCCAUGUGCAGUGUGCGUAUGAAGCGAUUGGGCUUGUAUGUUAGGUUGAACGCCAUUUGAUUGGCAGUGAGUAGGUCGGCUUUCCGAACGACCCGUCUUGAAACACGGACCAAGGAGUCUAAUUAGGCAUCGAGUCGAUCGGUCUUGAAUAGGCCAGACUUGUGGGGUGCACUCUGCUGAAGGCGAAGAGAAAUCAUGUGAUCGUUGGAGCAAACCAGCUCUGGCGCGCAACAUGUGCCUGUUCGUAUAGCAAUGUAGCAAUAAUUGCUGAGCGGAGCAAAGAGAUGCCUGAUUGGUACCCGAAAGAUGGUGAUGCUUGGGCAAAUUGAAGCCAGAGGAAACUCUGGUGGAGGAUUGUAGCGAUUCUGACGUGCAAAUCGAUCGUCAGACCUGAGUAUAGGGGCGAAAGACUAAUCGAACCAUC
rnacentral:rRNA from 1 species